rnacentral:rRNA from 1 species
UACGUAGGGUGCGAGCGUUGUCCGGAAUUAUUGGGCGUAAAGGGCUCGUAGGCGGUUUGUCGCGUCGGGAGUGAAAACUCAGGGCUUAACCCUGAGCCUGCUUCCGAUACGGGCAGACUAGAGGUAUGCAGGGGAGAACGGAAUUCCUGGUGCAGCGGUGAAAUGCGCAGAUAUCAGGAGGAACACCGGUGGCGAAGGCGGGUCUCUGGGCCGAUACUGACGCUGAGGAGCGAAAGCGUGGGGAGCGAACAGG